rnacentral:rRNA from 1 species
CCUACGGGAGGCAGCAGUGGGGAAUAUUGGACAAUGGGGGGAACCCUGAUCCAGCCAUGCCGCGUGUGUGAAGAAGGCCCUCGGGUUGUAAAGCACUUUCAGUGAGGAAGAACGCCUGGUGGUUAAUACCCAUCAGGAAAGACAUCACUCACAGAAGAAGCACCGGCUAACUCCGUGCCAGCAGCCGCGGUAAUACGGAGGGUGCGAGCGUUAAUCGGAAUUACUGGGCGUAAAGCGCGCGUAGGUGGCUUGAUAAGCCGGUUGUGAAAGCCCCGGGCUCAACCUGGGAACGGCAUCCGGAACUGUCAAGCUAGAGUGCAGGAGAGGAAGGUAGAAUUCCCGGUGUAGCGGUGAAAUGCGUAGAGAUCGGGAGGAAUACCAGUGGCGAAGGCGGCCUUCUGGACUGACACUGACACUGAGGUGCGAAAGCGUGGGUAGCAAACAGGACUAGAUACCCCAGUAGUC